CACGCUGUUUGACUUUGAUAGAGUUUCUCAGCAUUUUUUUGAACUUACUGUGAACAUGUCAGCGAGAAUGAUCCUUGUAAAAAGGGAUUAAUGCCCCUACCAAAUGGGACAUGCGUUAUACCGUGUCCUGCAGGACAAGUUAGGGAUGACCAUGAUGACUUUAUAUGCAAACUGCAAACAAAUAAAUCUAGUGUCCCCAAUGAUACAGAUGGUGUGACAGAGACUACCAUUGGAUCUAAAGUAACUACAGGUCAGUUACCCAGACUUUACUGGU